UCCAGGGUUGCAUUCAACAGAAUCCCUGUGAGUGUAGCAAGACACAAAAGACAAGCGAACAACUAGCAUCAACUGGUAUGAUGCUGAGAGGAUUGCAUAACACUACAUAGAUUACUGGCUGCCCAAUGCAAGGUUCAAAAGGAUUGUACUGAACUAGACAAAAUCUUUCAAUUGUAACAGUAUGACAGACAAGUUUUGAGGCACAUUUUUUCAUCAUCACUUUGGCUGAACUAGUGCUUGAAAAUAGGCGUACCAUCCCCUGAAAGUCUCAGUAAAGGAUGGGGAAAUACUUUUACAAAAAGCUCGCCUACAGCUUAAAGCCUUAGUUUAGGAUUCAAGAAUUUUGAAUAAGGUCAGUGAUAUAUACCUUCAUAAAUAAACUGAAGA